UAUGAAAGUUACCAUCCACCUUCUGAAUUCCUAUUUUUUUUUGCGAAAUGAUGUAGGAUAAUUAGAAAUGGGUCUAAUUGACACAAACUGCUGAAAAUUACGGAAAACACGUAGGUUGACAAUUGCAGACAUUUUAUUCGAUUUUUCUUUUACUCUUUUUUAGCAGACUAAAAGACAAGUUUGAUCGCCAUCUAUGAUUCACAUUUACAACUGCUGAUAUGGAACAAUAAGUCUUCGUUACGUAUGACCGCCGCCAUUUUUUGCAGCAGUGAUUUGAUUGAUGGAAUGGCGUAUUUUCCUUCCUUACAGCUAAAGUUUUCUUCAUAAAAAUGUUAUUUCCUUUUUGGAUUGUUAGAUGUGACCGAAUCUUAAUUAUUUGUGUGUGAAUUUAGUUAAUUGUGUGGUAAUAACCUAGCCUAUUAAUUUCUACUUGGAAAUUUCAGCUGAUCAUGUGGCCUACAUUUUGCCAAGAUGUCGUCUCUUUUUCCUGUACGUACCAGCUGUACGGUUUGUAAGAAACACUUCAGAACAAAUCAGACAGUCUGGUGAAGUCUGAGCUUCGUCGUUGCUGCCCAAUGUACUUAUGGAUUUGAUGCAGCCAGCUGGUAAAGGGUGUUCUUCUUGCUACCUGUACUCUUGUUUGUUUCGUUAAAUGAAGAAACAUGAACAACUGAAGCUUAUCGUGUAUGUUCGCGUAGUCGUUGCUGUCCGCUGUGGUGCUUUGUUGCAGCCUAUGCUGGUGAUAGAUCUUUCUGCAUCGAAUUCAAUUGGCCGUGCUGUUAUCGUGUUACCGUAGUUGCAUUAUUAUUUUAUUAAAUUGGAAUUGUGUCAAUGUAGUUUACCGUUAA